UAGGGAAUCUUCCGCAAUGGACGCAAGUCUGACGGAGCAACGCCGCGUGAGUGAAGAAGGAUUUCGGUUCGUAAAACUCUGUUGUUAGAGAAGAACAGCGCAUAGAGUAACUGUUAUGCGUGUGACGGUAUCUAACCAGAAAGCCACGGCUAACUACGUGCCAGCAGCCGCGGUAAUACGUAGGUGGCAAGCGUUGUCCGGAUUUAUUGGGCGUAAAGCGAGCGCAGGCGGUCAAUUAAGUCUGAUGUGAAAGCCCCCGGCUCAACCGGGGAGGGUCAUUGGAAACUGGUGUACUUGAGUGCGGAAGAGGAGAGUGGAAUUCCAGGUGUAGCGGUGAAAUGCGUAGAUAUAUGGAGGAACACCAGUGGCGAAGGCGACUCUCUGGUCUGUAACUGACGCGGAGGCUCGAAAGCGUGGGUAGCAAACAGG
rnacentral:rRNA from 1 species